AGUGAACGCUGGCGGUAGGCCUAACACAUGCAAGUCGAACGGCAGCACAGUAAGAGCUUGCUCUUACGGGUGGCGAGUGGCGGACGGGUGAGGAAUACAUCGGAAUCUACUUUUUCGUGGGGGAUAACGUAGGGAAACUUACGCUAAUACCGCAUACGACCUACGGGUGAAAGCAGGGGAUCUUCGGACCUUGCGCGAUUGAAUGAGCCGAUGUCGGAUUAGCUAGUUGGCGGGGUAAAGGCCCACCAAGGCGACGAUCCGUAGCUGGUCUGAGAGGAUGAUCAGCCACACUGGAACUGAGACACGGUCCAGACUCCUACGGGAGGCAGCAGUGGCGAAUGUUGGACAAUGGGCGCAAGCCUGAUCCAGCCAUACCGCGUGGGUGAAGAAGGCCUUCGGGUUGUAAAGCCCUUUUGUUGGGAAAGAAAAGCAGCAGGUUAAUACCCCGCUGUUCUGACGGUACCCAAAGAAUAAGCACCGGCUAACUUCGUG
rnacentral:rRNA from 1 species